GUGCCUAAUACAUGCAAGUCGUACGCACUGGCCCAACUGAUUGAUGGUGCUUGCACCUGAUUGACGAUGGAUCACCAGUGAGUGGCGGACGGGUGAGUAACACGUAGGUAACCUGCCCCGGAGCGGGGGAUAACAUUUGGAAACAGAUGCUAAUACCGCAUAACAACAAAAGCCACAUGGCUUUUGUUUAAAAGAUGGCUUUGGCUAUCACUCUGGGAUGGACCUGCGGUGCAUUAGCUAGUUGGUAAGGUAACGGCUUACCAAGGCGAUGAUGCAUAGCCGAGUUGAGAGACUGAUCGGCCACAAUGGAACUGAGACACGGUCCAUACUCCUACGGGAGGCAGCAGUAGGGAAUCUUCCACAAUGGGCGCAAGCCUGAUGGAGCAACACCGCGUGAGUGAAGAAGGGUUUCGGCUCGUAAAGCUCUGUUGUUGGAGAAGAACGUGCGUGAGAGUAACUGUUCACGCAGUGACGGUAUCCAACCAGAAAGUCACGGCUAACUACGUGCCAGCAGCCGCGGUAAUACGUAGGUGGCAAGCGUUAUCCGGAUUUAUUGGGCGUAAAGCGAGCGCAGGCGGUUGCUUAGGUCUGAUGUGAAAGCCUUCGGCUUAACCGAAGAAGUGCAUCGGAAACCGGGCGACUUGAGUGCAGAAGAGGACAGUGGAACUCCAUGUGUAGCGGUGGAAUGCGUAGAUAUAUGGAAGAACACCAGUGGCGAAG
rnacentral:rRNA from 1 species